CCGGCGACCGGCGCACGGGUGGGUAACACGUAUGCAACCUGGCCGUCACAGGUGGAUAACCGGAAGAAAUUCCGACUAAUACAGCAUAACACUCCUGAGGGACAUCCUUCGGGAGUCAAAGGAGGCAACUCCGGUGACGGAUGGGCAUGCGGCGCAUUAGGUAGUUGGUAGGGUAACGGCCUACCAAGCCGACGAUGCGUAGGGGUUCUGAGAGGAAGGUCCCCCACAUUGGAACUGAGACACGGUCCAAACUCCUACGGAAGGCAGCAG
rnacentral:rRNA from 1 species